GUGGGGAAUAUUGGACAAUGGGCGAAAGCCUGAUCCAGCAAUGCCGCGUGAGUGAUGAAGGCCCUAGGGUUGUAAAGCUCUUUUACCAGGGAUGAUAAUGACAGUACCUGGAGAAUAAGCUCCGGCUAACUCCGUGCCAGCAGCCGCGGUAAUACGGAGGGAGCUAGCGUUGUUCGGAUAUACUGGGCGUAAAGCGCACGUAGGCGGCGCCGUAAGUCAGGGGUGAAAUCCCGGAGCUCAACUCCGGAACUGCCUUUGAAACUGCAGUGCUAGAAUCCUGGAGAGGCGAGUGGAAUUCCGAGUGUAGAGGUGAAAUUCGUAGAUAUUCGGAAGAACACCAGUGGCGAAGGCGACUCGCUGGACAGGUAUUGACGCUGAGGUGCGAAAGCGUGGGGAGCAAACAGGAUUAGAAACCCGAGUAGUCC
rnacentral:rRNA from 1 species